rnacentral:rRNA from 1 species
GACAGAGGAUGCAAGCGUUGUCCGGAAUUAUUGGGCGUAAAGAGCUCGUAGGCGGUUUGUCGCGUCUGCUGUGAAAACGCGGGGCUCAACUCCGCGCCUGCAGUGGGUACGAGCAGACUAGAGUGCAGUAGGGGAGACUGGAAUUCCUGGUGUAGCGGUGGAAUGCGCAGAUAUCAGGAGGAACACCGGUGGCGAAGGCGGGUCUCUGGGCAACAACUGACGCUGAGGAGCGAAAGCGUGGGGAGCGAACAGG